CUACGGGUUGCUGCAGUGAGGAAUUUUGCGCAAUGGGGGCAACCCUGACGCAGCAACGCCGCGUGAGUGAAAAAGGCUUUCGGGUCGUAAAGCUCUGUCGAGUGGGAAGAAAGUGCGCGUAUUGAACAGGUAUGCGUAUUGACGGUACCACCAAAGGAAGCACCGGCUAACUCCGUGCCAGCAGCCGCGGUAAUACGGAGGGUGCAAGCGUGAUUCGGAAUUAUUGGGCGUAAAGGGCGCGUAGGCGGUUGUCAAAGUCAGGUGUGAAAUCCCAAGGCUUAACCUUGGAAGUGCAUUUGAAACUUGGCGACUUGAGUAUGGGAGAGGAAAGCGGAAUUCCUGGUGUAGAGGUGAAAUUCGUAGAUAUCAGGAGGAACACCUGUGGCGAAGGCGGCUUUCUGGACCAAUACUGACGCUGAGGCGCGAAGGCGUGGGGAGCAAACAGGAUUAGAUACCCUCGUAGUC
rnacentral:rRNA from 1 species